rnacentral:other from 1 species
UUACCCCUGCUGUGUUCGUGAUUGGAUUAUGUACCUUGACCCAAUACUAACAUUUAGGGAGCUUUCGCUAGUUUUGGUGAGCAAGUUCCGCUUGUACGGAAAAGCCUAAAGAAACUAUAAGGCGCCCACCUUGACGGUCAGGUUCAAGGUUUAUUCAACACGGCUCCGCGGGGGUAUU